rnacentral:rRNA from 1 species
AUUGACCGCUGGCGGCAGGCUUAACACAUGCAAGUCGAACGAGUGGCGGACGGGUGAGUAAUGAUUGGGAAUCUCGCUUAUGGAGGGGGCUCACUACGGGAAACUGUAGCUAAUACCGCGUACCAUAGGAUGAGCCCAAGUGGGAUUAGGUAGUUGGUGAGGUAAAGGCUCACCAAGCCGACGAUCUCUAGCUGGUCUAAGCGGAUGACCAGCACCACGGGGAAUGAGACACGGCCCAGACUCCUACGGGAGGCAGCAGUGGGGAAUAUUGCGCAAGGGGGGAAACUUGCAGCAGCCAUGCCGCGUGAAUGAAGAAGGCCUUCGGGUUGUAAAGGUCUUUCGGUAGCGAGGCGUUAACUACAGAAGAAGCACCGGCUAAAUCCGUGACAGCAGCCGCGGUAAUUC